CCUACGGGAGGCAGCAGUGGGGGAUAUUGCACAAUGGGGGAAACCCUGAUGCAGCGACGCCGCGUGGGUGAAGAAGCGCCUCGGCGCGUAAAGCCCUGUCAGCAGGGAAGAAAAUGACGGUACCUGAAGAAGAAGCCCCGGCUAACUACGUGCCAGCAGCCGCGGUAAUACGUAGGGGGCAAGCGUUAUCCGGAUUUACUGGGUGUAAAGGGGGCGCAGACGGCGAUGCAAGCCAGGAGUGAAAGCCCGGGGCCCAACCCCGGGACUGCUCUUGGAACUGCGUGGCUAGAGUGCAGGAGGGGCAGGCGGAAUUCGUGGUGUAGCGGUGAAAUGCGUAGAUAUCAGGAGGAACACCGGUGGCGAAGGCGGCCUGCUGGACUACAACUGACGUUGAGGCCCGAAAGCGUGGGGAGCAAACAGGAUUAGAGACCCCAGUAGUC
rnacentral:rRNA from 1 species